UACAGAGGUCUCAAGCGUUGUUCGGAUUCAUUGGGCGUAAAGGGUGCGUAGGUGGCGCCGUAAGUCGGGUGUGAAAUUUCGGAGCUUAACUCCGAAACUGCAUUCGAUACUGCGGUGCUUGAGGACUGGAGAGGAGACUGGAAUUCAUGGUGUAGCAGUGAAAUGCGUAGAUAUCGGAGAUGACGAUACGUGGCGAAGGCGGACGUCCUGGACAAGCUCCUGACACUGAGGC
rnacentral:rRNA from 1 species